UACGGGGGGGGCAAGCGUUGUUCGGAAUUACUGGGCGUAAAGGGUUCGUAGGCGGCCAACUAAGUCAGACGUGAAAUCCCUCAGCUUAACUGGGGAACUGCGUCUGAGACUGGAUGGCUUGAGUGCAGGAGAGGAACGCGGAAUUCCAGGUGUAGCGGUGAAAUGCGUAGAUAUCUGGAGGAACACCGGUGGCGAAGGCGGCGUUCUGGACUGCUACUGACACUGAGGAACGAAAGCCAGGGGAGCAAACGGG
rnacentral:rRNA from 1 species